AUUGAACGCUGGCGGCAGGCCUAACACAUGCAAGUCGAACGAGUGGCGGACGGGUGAGUAAUGUCUGGGAAACUGCCAGAUGGAGGGGGAUAAAUACUGGAAACGGUAGCUAAUACCGCAUACCAUCGGAUGUGCCCAGAUGGGAUUAGCUUGUUGGUGGGGUAAAGGCUCACCUAGGCGACGAUCCCUCGCUGGUCUGAGAGGAUGACCAGCCACACUGGAACUGAGACACGGUCCAGACUCCUACGGGAGGCAGCAGUGGGGAAUAUUGCACAAUGGGCGCAAGCCUGAUGCAGCCAUGCCGCGUGUAUGAAGAAGGCCUUCGGGUUGUAAAGUACUUUCAGCGGGGAGGCGUUACUCGCAGAAGAAGCACCGGCUAACUCCGUGCCAGCAGCCGCGGUAAUUC
rnacentral:rRNA from 1 species